UAAUGCCACUGCACUUUAGCCUGGGCAACAGAGCAAGACUGUCAGCAAAACAAACAAACAAAAAAACACAGAAGAUCAUCCUAAUAGAUGUAGAAAAGGAGGUAAAGGAGGUGACAAACCUCAACAGCCUUUCAUGACUGGAAUACUCAAGAAACUAGACAUACAAGGGAAAUUCCUCAACCUAUUAUAAGAUAGAUUGUAAAGUUACCAUCAUACUUGAAGGUGGAAGACUAAACACUUUCUCUCAAAGAUGAGACAUAAGACAAGAAUGUCUCCUCUUACCUCUUCUAUUCAACUUAGGAAGGAAAUUGCUACUAGUUUAACCAGGCCAGAAAAUAAAAUAGAGACACAGAAACACAAAAGACUCAAUGUGGUCACUUAAGAAAAUAGGCUGACUAUAAGGACUUCCUAUAAGCUACAGUAAAGACACUGGUAUUUUGAAAAGAAUGCAUUAAUAGAUCAAUAGAACAGAAUGGAGAAUGCAGAAAUAAUCUCACACACAUGUAGUAAUCUCAUGAUUCACAAAGGAGCCAAGGUAAUUCACUGGAGAUAGUGUAGUCUUUUCAACAAAUGGUAAUGGAACAGCUUGACUAAAAUGUGUAAAGAAAUGAAUUAAGCACAGACUUAUAACUUUCAUUAGAUAAACUCAAAAAAUGGAUCAUUAACCUAGAUGGGAAAUGCAAAAUUCAAAACUUCUAGAGGAUAACACAAGUGAAAUCAAGACCACCUUGGACUUGGCAAGUAAGAUUUCACACACAACACCAAGAACAAGAUCUGUGCAUGAGAAAAUGAAUAAAUUGGACUCCAAUCAAAUUGAAACUGUUUAGCAAAUGACACCGUUAACACAAUGAAAGAGAGGCUGGUGACUGGGACAAAAAAUUUGCAAAACGUCUAUCUGAUAAAGGACUACUACUCAAAAUAUACAAAGAAGUCCUAAAACUCGAGAAAACCACCAACCAGUUUAAAAUCUAGAAAUACACUAGAGAACAAACAUAUGACAGGAGGCUCUACAUCACAUGUCACUAGAGAAGGGCAAAUGAAAUCAUAAUGAGGUAUCACCAAAUACCUGGGAUAGUGGCUAAAAUCUGAAACACUGACACGCUGCCGGCAUCCUGGUUCCACAUUCCUUGCACAAAAUGCCCGGUGAAGCCACAGAAACCGUCCCUGCUACAGAGCAGGAGUUGCCACAGCCUGAGGCUGAGACAGGGUCUGGAACAGAAUCUGACAGUGAUGAAUCAGUGUGAGCUCGAGGAACAAGAUUCCACACAAGCAACACAACAAGCACAGCUGGUAGCAGCAGCUGAAAUCGAGGAAGAACCAGUUAGUAAAGCAAAACAGAGUCGGGGUGGAAAGAAGGCACGGAAGGCUAUGUCCAAACUGGGUCUUCGACAGGUUACAGGGGUUACUAGAGUCACUAUCCAGAAAUCUAAGAAUAUCCUCUUUGUCAUCACAAAACCAGAUGUCUGCAAGGGCCCAGCUUCAGAUGCCUACAUAGUUUUUGGAGAAGCCAAGAUGGAGGAUUUGUCUCAGCAGGCACAGCUAGCAGCUGCUGAGAAAUUCAAAGUUCAAGGUGAAGCUGUUUCAAACAUUCAAGAAAACACACAGACUCCAACUGUACAAGAGGAGAGUGAAGAGGAAGAGGUUGAUCAAACAGGUGUGGAAGUUAAAGACAGAAUUGGUCAUGUCACAAGCAAAUGUGUCAAGAGCAAAGGCAGUCCGAGCCCUGAAGAACAACAGUAAUGAUAUUGUAAAUGCUAUUAUGGGAUUAACAAUGUAACCAUCUGAAAACAAGGACUUUUUUUGGUGUUUCAAAAGAGUAAAUGUAGCUUGGUUUGAAAUUUGUACUGUUUCUAUCAUUAAUAAAGUUAUGGCUUCUUGUUGGAAAAAACAAAAAUAAA